AUAAAAGACGCGGUUAAAACAGUUAAAAAAAGCAAAUAGGCUUCGUAUAAAAGAGCGUUUAGAAAAAAUUAUGAAUAAAAAAUUCGGCCAAAAUUUGUACGAACCGUUGUACGUGUAUCUGACGAGAGAGGGGAGUGUAUAAAUAAAAGAAAAACGGGAGGUGGCGCUAAUUUGGCUGUAUUAUAACGGUUGGCCGACCCGUAACUUUGCGUGUUCUUUGUUUUAAACGCGCCGAUACGACGUUUAGAACAAUACAAUUAAUUAAAUAUCUAAUGGCGGCAUCUGUAAUCGAUAGUUUGCCAAAUGUCGAGGUAUCAUUGUACUGUAUAUUUCGGAGCUGUACUGUACAAGCGUCGAUUUCGUGGAAAUACAAAUUACGUUUGACCUAAAUUUAUAAUGCAAAUACAAUUUAACAUACGUGUCUUAUUGCUAAAACAGUUGUAAAGAAGAUGACCAGGGACUAUA